GCCAGCAGCUAGCUCUCUGCAAUUCUCACAUGGUCGCCCACUGAAGCUAAGCAGGGCUGCGCUCGGUCAGUACCUGGAUGGAAGACCACAUGGAAUGCUAGGUUGCUGCUAGAA
rfam:Danio rerio chromosome 10, GRCz11 reference primary assembly.